AUACAGAGGGUGCGAGCGUUAAUCGGAAUUACUGGGCGUAAAGCGCGCGUAGGCGGCUUGGUCAGUCGGAUGUGAAAGCCCCGGGCUCAACCUGGGAAUGGCAUUCGAUACUGCCAGGCUAGAGUAUGGGAGAGGGAAGUGGAAUUUCCGGUGUAGCGGUGAAAUGCGUAGAUAUCGGAAAGAACACCAGUGGCGAAGGCGACUUUCUGGCCCAAUACUGACGCUGAGGUGCGAAAGCGUGGGGAGCGAACAGGAUUAGAUACCCUAGUAGUCC
rnacentral:rRNA from 1 species